rnacentral:misc_RNA from 1 species
GGACUGCCUUGAAUUGGGAAGCAAUGACUUGAAAGGUUUGGUUCAAAUUGUUAAGGAUUUAGCAUCACAAUUUUAUUCCACUUCUGACCAUAAUAGCGAACUUUGAUAACUGAGACUAUAAUUAUAUCAAUUCUUUGAAUCUUCACAAAAUUGUACUCAAAACCAAUAUCAAUAGACUAUAGUAAUACAAAUAUCGAAACC